rnacentral:lncRNA from 1 species
AGCUUAGCCGCUUGCUACUAGUCGGGGUGGUUGAGGUGCCACAAGGAGAUAGGAUUGUAGUACUUUAGUCCCAUAAAUAUAAGAAGAAUGUUGAGAGAGGGAGGAGUUCCCUCUUGUAUUGCCAGGCUGACCAGUGAGGUCUCUUAGUAUUGAGGAGUUGCUUUUCCCAUUAAACGGAAUUUCAGAGAGCGAACCUGGUGAGUAACCAAUGG